CCUCCGCACUUUUCGGCUAACCUGCUAUGCGCAGGGAUACUAGCACGGGAGAGGAUUAAAGCUGGGUACAAUAAAUAUUUUUCCUCGUUGAACGGAUUUUUAUUUGAAUGUAGAAUUGUUUAGCUUAUUACCCAUAUAUAUUUUAUUAGCUAUAUAUAUAUAUUUUAGCGUUGCUGGAUUGGAUAGGAAUGUGAGAUUUUUCGUUGUUUUAUAUAAAUUUAUUUUUACGUUUGACUUCUUCGUCUCUUUUAAUUUCGCUGUAGUAGUUUGCCGUUAGAACCGAAACUCAAUUCAUUUACUACGAUGGAUUCUGUUACCACGAUUUUCUUGCAUUUUGAGUUUAAUAAUCGAGGAUGAUUCUAACGAUCCUCUCUGUGUGGGACUCGUGUGAUUUCGCAAGCCUUGCCCAAAGACGGGUAAUAUUUUACCAACAGUGGGAGGAAGAAUGCGAAGAUCAGUGGAUGUUUCAGUAGCUGAAAACACCGUUCGCACAAGCCGACACAGCGGACAACUCCUUUGUUUAAAGUUUAAACAAUGAUUCUAUCUUCAAAACCGUUCACGAAAAUAGAACGAGAUCAAUGAUAGGAAGUUCUAAUUCGAUUCUCGAGGGCAACGAGAUUAUCAGAGAAGAAGGAAAUUUUCAAAAUUAAUUUUCUUACCUUGAGGAGUAGGUGCUGUCUGGUGCCAUUACCUCAGCUGCUCCGGUGGUCGUCGAAGUUUUGUUGGGUUUAUUACUUGAACUCGAAUAUAGUUUUCUAUCAACUUUUACUUUAUUUAUCUAUUUCGAUACAGACUGGACAAUUUACUAACUGGAUUAAUACCGCAAUUACAAUGCGCGUUUGUGUCUAAGCGAUGAAAUGAGGACUUCAAAGAUAAAAUUUUCUUUUACUUAAUCGCGACUCUCUUUUCUUUACCGGAAAACUAAAUACCCCGAAACGCAAAAUACUAUACAAAAUUUCUAAACGCAAUGAUGAGCGCAAUAACGAACGUAGUAACAAAAUAAUAAUGAACCGAAGAUCGCAAUAAUAAAGAACGAACACCAAAUUAAUGAGCCGUAAAGAAUGAAUGCUGCUCUAUGUUGCUUCGCUUAUUUAUAAUACCAUCCCCCACGGGGUGGUGGUCCGCUGGGGGUAGGCUUCCGUGGGAAUCGGGAUGUUGCAGUUUGGGUUUCUUGGAAUCGUACGUGACAAAAUGUAAGUUCCGUAUUUCGACUUAGUUUUUAUCGGUCCUGUGUUUCUGCUGAGCUAGCGUCUAGGAGAUUUGAAGCAUUCCACGCUGAUCUAGUCCUUUCCGCGAAAGACUUCCACGUGCUGUACCGUGGGAAUUACCGGUGUUUCUUCGGCGCGUGGAAGGGCUGGUGGCUGCAGCAUCAUUAUCAUUUCAAUGUUUGCUCGGGCAACACGCACAAUUCCGCUGCUCUCCCAUAACAAGGACGUCCUCUUUCGAGUCGUUUUGCGCUUCGGCAAUCGUCGUUCGAACUAUGUUUGCGGAGUCAUUUCCAUCAGAGGUUCCUAUCCAGACUUCCCUGCGCAAGCGAAAGAGGGAUUCCGAAGAACCCAUGAGCGACUCGGGAAGACCCAUCAAACGCAUUGCGGCCCUGUGAUAAACCACAAGUAUCAGAGUGGUUGGAGGAACUAUUCAACAUUGGUGCCGAGGCCGUGUCGAAAUUGAGCUUUGACGAUUUGGUUACUUUUGAUGAGAGUUUCUUCGAUGCAGAGACCGUCGUAUUGGAGUGGGAACCCCCUCUGGUUGAAAUCGUUGAUACCGAUCGUUGUGUGAAAGUUCGUUUUGCAAAUGAAAUUCCCGGAGAGGUUUUGGAGGCAUAUCUUCGUUACCAUGCUUCUGGGUGAAAGGGAAUUUCCCCUGUUGUGCGUUAUUGGUGUAUGCGUGAGUUCAGCGAACUUUGUCCCGGAGCUCCUUGCUACGAUUUUGAUUUAGUGUAGCUGCUUCAAUUUCGUUGGUACACUGUUUGAUGUUCCUUAUUAUUAUUAUUUUUAGAUGUAUUUUGUUUUGUGUUCAAUAUAUAUAUAUAUAUAUAUAUCGGAGAUGAAAUGAAAACCGGAGCCUUCCCUAUGCAAUUUUGAGGAAGCCUUCUAAUGCUUUAGCCUAGAUUUUAUCAUAACUGUAAUUAAGUAAUUGUCAUCUGUAAUUGUUUGACAUUUGUGAAAAGCGAAAGUGGGUUCGAGGUGACAACUGGUCGUCG